rnacentral:rRNA from 1 species
GCGGGCAUGCCUUACACAUGCAAGUCGAACGGCAGCACGGGUGCUUGCACCUGGUGGCGAGUGGCGAACGGGUGAGUAAUACAUCGGAACAUGUCCUGUAGUGGGGGAUAGCCCGGCGAAAGCCGGAUUAAUACCGCAUACGAUCUACGGAUGAAAGCGGGGGACCUUCGGGCCUCGCGCUAUAGGGUUGGCCGAUGGCUGAUUAGCUAGUUGGUGGGGUAAAGGCCCACCAAGGCGACGAUCAGUAGCUGGUCUGAGAGGACGACCAGCCACACUGGGACUGAGACACGGCCCAGACUCCUACGGGAGGCAGCAGUGGGGAAUUUUGGACAAUGGGCGAAAGCCUGAUCCAGCAAUGCCGCGUGUGUGAAGAAGGCCUUCGGGUUGUAAAGCACUUUUGUCCGGAAAGAAAUCCUGAGGGCUAAUAUCCUUCGGGGAUGACGGUACCGGAAGAAUAAGCACCGGCUAACUACGUGCCAGCAGCCGCGGUAAUA